ACGAAUCAACAUAGUUCAGUAGAAAACACAUAUAGCUCUGUUCAACAACAAAUGUACCAUGUUCCGCCCAACGUUACGCAAAAUCAACAACUUCCGAAACUCACCUUACCUACAUUUACAGGAGAAACACUCAUGUGGCAAACUUUUUGGGACUCGUUCGAAUCAUCUGUACACUAUAAUCCCACACUUACCGACAUACAGAAAUUCACAUAUUUGAAAUCGCAACUUAGUA
rnacentral:lncRNA from 1 species